rnacentral:rRNA from 1 species
UACGUAGGUGGCAAGCGUUGUCCAGAAUUAUUGGGCGUAAAGCGCGCGCAGGCGGUCCUUUAAGUCUGAUGUGAAAGCCCACGGCUCAACCGUGGAGGGUCAUUGGAAACUGGGGGACUUGAGUGCAGAAGAGGAAAGUGGAAUUCCACGUGUAGCGGUGAAAUGCGUAGAGAUGUGGAGGAACACCAGUGGCGAAGGCGACUUUCUGGUCUGUAACUGACGCUGAGGCGCGAAAGCGUGGGGAGCAAACAGG